rnacentral:rRNA from 1 species
UACGGGGGGAGCAAGCGUUGUUCGGAUUUACUGGGCGUAAAGGGCGCGUAGGCGGUCAGCACAAGUCAGUUGUGAAAUCUCCGGGCUUAACUCGGAAAGGUCAGCCGAUACUGCGGGGCUAGAGUGCAGAAGGGGCAACUGGAAUUCUCGGUGUAGCGGUGAAAUGCGUAGAUAUCGAGAGGAACACCUGCGGCGAAGGCGGGUUGCUGGGCUGACACUGACGCUGAUGCGCGAAAGCUAGGGGAGCAAACGGG